rnacentral:rRNA from 1 species
GACGAACGCUGGCGGCGUGCUUAACACAUGCAAGUCGAACGAUGAACUUGGAGCUUGCUCUGGGGGAUUAGUGGCGAACGGGUGAGUAACACGUGAGUAACCUGCCCUGGACUCUGGGAUAACUUCGAGAAAUCGGAGCUAAUACCGGAUAGGACCUUGCACCGCAUGGUGUGGGGUGGAAAGUUUUUCGGUUUGGGAUGGACUCGCGGCCUAUCAGCUUGUUGGUGAGGUAAUGGCUCACCAAGGCGUCGACGGGUAGCCGGCCUGAGAGGGUGAGCGGCCACACUGGGACUGAGACACGGCCCAGACUCCAACGGGAGGAAGCAGUGGGGAAUAUUGCCCAAUGGGCGCAAGCCUGAUGCAGAAACGCCGCGGGCGGGAUGACGGCCUUCGGGUUGUAAACCGCUUUUAGUAGGGAAGAAGCCUUCGGGUGACGGUACCUGCAGAAAAAGGACCGGCUAACUACGUGCCAGCAGCCGCCGUAAGAC